ACGGCUCAGUAACACGUGGAUAACCUGCCCUAUGCUCUGGGAUAACCUCGGGAAACUGAGAAUAAUACCGGAUAGAUCACAACGCCUGGAACGGUGUGUGGUUGAAAGGUUACGGCAUAGGAUGGGUCUGCGGCGUAUCAGGUUGUAGGGGGUGUAAUGGACCCCCUAGCCAUCGACGCGUACGGGUGUUGGGAGACAUAGCCCGGAGACGCAUUCUGAGACACGAAUCCGGACCCUACGGGGUGCAGCAGGCGCGAAAACUUCACACUGCAGGAAACUGUGAUCAGGGAACUCCAAGUGGAUGCACAUAGUGUAUCUCUUUUCUUUACUAUUAAUCGGUAUUGGAAUAAGGGCUGGGAAAGACCGGUGCCAGCCGCCGCGGUAAUACCGGCAGCUCGAGUGGUCGUCGCUUUUAUUGGGCCUAAAACGUCCGUAGCCGGUUUGGUAAAUCUGUGGGUAAAUCAACUAGCUUAACUAGUUGAAUUCUGCAGAGACUGCCAGACUAGGAACCGGGAGAGGUGUGGGGUACUCAAGGGGUAGGGGUAAAAUCCUGUCAUCCUUUGAGGACCACCAGUUGCGAAGGCGCCACACUAGAACGGAUUCGGCGGUCAGGGACGAAGCCUAGGGGCACGAACCGGAUUAGAUACCCGGGUAGUCCUAGGUGUAAACGCUGUGAACUUGGUGUCGGGAGUCCGCAAUGGGCCCCCGGUGCCGGAGUGAAGAUGUUAAGUUCACUGCCUGGGGAGUACGGUCGCAAGGCUGAAACUUAAAGGAAUUGGCGGGGGAGCAC
rnacentral:rRNA from 1 species